rnacentral:rRNA from 1 species
GACGAACGCUGGCGGCGUGCUUAACACAUGCCAGUCGAACGGAAAGGCCCUGCUUUUGUGGGGUGCUCGAGUGGCGAACGGGUGAGUAACACGUGAGUAACCUGCCCUUGACUUUGGGAUAACUUCAGGAAACUGGGGCUAAUACCGGAUAGGAGCUCCUGCUGCAUGGUGGUGGUUGGAAAGUUUCGGCGGUUGGGGAUGGACUCGCGGCUUAUCAGCUUGUUGGUGGGGUAGUGGCUUACCAAGGCUUUGACGGGUAGCCGGCCUGGGAGGGUGACCGGCCACAUUGGGACUGAGAUACGGCCCAGACUCCUACGGGAGGCAGCAGUGGGGAAUAUUGCACAAUGGGCGGAAGCCUGAUGCAGCAACGCCGCGUGCGGGAUGACGGCCUUCGGGUUGUAAACCGCUUUCGCCUGUGACGAAGCGUGAGUGACGGUAAUGGGUAAAGAAGCACCGGCUAACUACGUG